rnacentral:rRNA from 1 species
GACGAACGCUGGCGGCGUGCUUAACACAUGCAAGUCGAACGGAAAGGCCCUGCUUUUGUGGGGUGCUCGAGUGGCGAACGGGUGAGUAACAAGUGAGUAACCUGCCCUUGACUUUGGGAUAACUUCAGGAAACUGGGGCUAAUACCGGAUAGGAGCUCCUGCUGCAUGGUGGGGGUUGGAAAGUUUCGGCGGUUGGGGAUGGACUCGCGGCUUAUCAGCUUGUUGGUGGGGUAGUGGCUUACCAAGGCUUUGACGGGUAGCCGGCCUGAGAGGGUGACCGGCAACAUUGGGACUGAGAUACGGCCCGGACUCCUACGGGAGGCAGCAGUGGGGAAUAUUGCACAAUGGGCGGAAGCCUGAUGCAGCAACGCCGCGGGCGGGAUAACGGCCUUCGGGUUGUAAACCGCUUUCGCCUGUGACGAAGCGUGAGUGACGGUAAUGGGUAAAGAAGCACCGGCUAACUACGUG